UACGUAGGGUGCAAGCGUUGUCCGGAAUUAUUGGGAGUAAAGCGCUUGUAGGCGGUUUGUCGCGUCUGCUGUGAAAUUUCGGGGCUCAACCCCGAACUUGCAGUGGGUACGGGCAGACUAGAGUGUGGUAGGGGAGACUGGAAUUCCUGGUGUAGCGGUGAAAUGCGCAGAUAUCAGGAGGAACACCGGUGGCGAAGGCGGGUCUCUGGGCCGUAACUGACGCUGAGGAGCGAAAGCAUGGGGAGCGAACAGG
rnacentral:rRNA from 1 species